CCUACGGGAGGCAGCAGUGAGGAAUAUUGGUCAAUGGGCGCGAGCCUGAACCAGCCAAGUAGCGUGAAGGAUGAAGGCUCUAUGGGUCGUAAACUUCUUUUAUAUGGGAAUAAAGUUUUCCACGUGUGGAAUUUUGUAUGUACCAUAUGAAUAAGGAUCGGCUAACUCCGUGCCAGCAGCCGCGGUAAU
rnacentral:rRNA from 1 species